rnacentral:lncRNA from 1 species
CUGCUACAUAUUUUGUAUCUGCACAGACUUUUCUCUUCUGGGCUUAGCGACACACUCAACAUUUUCAGUACAGAGUCAUGAUUCUCUGUUCUCUCCUCUAUUCAGCUACAUCAUGAGUCAUAGUAAUGACUAUUCUUGAAUACCACUGGUGACGUUCAAAAAAUUCUAAGCUCAUGCCAACCAACUUUUGAACAUCUGUGAGGCAGGGGAGAAAUACUCGCCUAAAAGCUGCUGCCAGAAACAGUAGUCUGCAUUCCAAAGUCAGUGCAACACAGGAGUUUAACUUGGGAGGCCUUAACAUAACAGUUUAGCUUCAUGAUCAAAAUCACCUCAGGGCAUACUACAAUCAACCAAACAUCAGCCUUCAAGAGAUGCACCAUAUGACUACAUCCACAGAGCAUUUGAUGAAUUUCUGUCCAUAAAAACCCUCUGAGAGAAGUCAUGAAAACAAAUAAGUCUGUUGAGCUUUACAUAUGCCGGUCUUAGCCAAAUUUGUCUGACCACAAGAUCCUUUGAUCUCCCCAUAAAACAUUUUCUAUCACUGGGGGAGCUCAAGUCCUGUAGAGCUCACCAUGGGAUACACUGCUCCAUGACGACUGUGUCUCUGCCUCGUCUACUUCCAUUGCUCAUCCAGGAAUUGAGAAGACUUUAUCAUUUAAGCCAUGAGAUGGCUGAGGAAGAAAAAACCAGAUGCCUGUUUAAGUCACCUUUAGAUUUCCA